rnacentral:tRNA from 1 species
CGCUAAGAAGCUAAAUCGGUACAGAGCGUUAGCCUUUUAAGCUAAAGAUUGGUGACUACCCCCCACCCUUAGCGA